rnacentral:tRNA from 1 species
AGGAAUUUAGGUUAAUAAAGACCUAAGACCUUCAAAGUCUUUAGUAGAGGUUAAAAUCCUCUAAUUCCUG